rnacentral:rRNA from 1 species
UACGGAGGGGGCUAGCGUUGUUCGGAAUUACUGGGCGUAAAGCGCACGUAGGCGGCUUUGUAAGUUAGAGGUGAAAGCCCGGGGCUCAACUCCGGAAUUGCCCUUAAGACUGCAUCGCUAGAAUUGUGGAGAGGUAAGUGGAAUUCCGAGUGUAGAGGUGAAAUUCGCAGAUAUUCGGAAGAACACCAGUGGCGAAGGCGACUUACUGGACACAUAUUGACGCUGAGGUGCGAAAGCGUGGGGAGCAAACAGG